rnacentral:rRNA from 1 species
GAACAUAAGAGUUUGAUCCUGGCUCAGAUUGAACGCUGGCGGCAUGCUUUACACAUGCAAGUCGGACGGCAGCACAGGGAAGCUUGCUUCUCGGGUGGCGAGUGGCGAACGGGUGAGUAACAUAUCGGAACGUACCGGGUAGCGGGGGAUAACUGAUCGAAAGAUCAGCUAAUACCGCAUACGUCUUGAGAGGGAAAGCAGGGGACCUUCGGGCCUUGCGCUAUCCGAGCGGCCGAUAUCUGAUUAGCUGGUUGGCGGGGUAAAGGUCCACCAAGGCGACGAUCAGUAGCGGGUCUGAGAGGAUGAUCCGCCACACUGGGACUGAGACACGGCCCAGACUCCUACGGGAGGCAGCAGUGGGGAAUUUUGGACAAUGGGCGCAAGCCUGAUCCAGCCAUGCCGCGUGUCUGAAGAAGGCCUUCGGGUUGUAAAGGACUUUUGUCAGGGAAGAAAAGGCCGUUGCCAAUAUCGGCGGCCGAUGACGGUACCUGAAGAAUAAGCACCGGCUAACUACGUGCCAGCAGCCGCGGUAAUACGUAGGGUGCGAGCGUUAAUCGGAAUUACUGGGCGUAAAGCGGGCGCAGACGGUUACUUAAGCAGGAUGUGAAAUCCCCGGGCUCAACCCGGGAACUGCGUUCUGAACUGGGUGACUCGAGUGUGUCAGAGGGAGGUGGAAUUCCACGUGUAGCAGUGAAAUGCGUAGAGAUGUGGAGGAAUACCGAUGGCGAAGGCAGCCUCCUGGGAUAACACUGACGUUCAUGUCCGAAAGCGUGGGUAGCAAACAGGAUUAGAUACCCUGGUAGUCCACGCCCUAAACGAUGUCAAUUAGCUGUUGGGCAACUUGAUUGCUUGGUAGCGUAGCUAACGCGUGAAAUUGACCGCCUGGGGAGUACGGUCGCAAGAUUAAAACUCAAAGGAAUUGACGGGGACCCGCACAAGCGGUGGAUGAUGUGGAUUAAUUCGAUGCAACGCGAAGAACCUUACCUGGUUUUGACAUGUGCGGAAUCCUCCGGAGACGGAGGAGUGCCUUCGGGAGCCGUAACACAGGUGCUGCAUGGCUGUCGUCAGCUCGUGUCGUGAGAUGUUGGGUUAAGUCCCGCAACGAGCGCAACCCUUGUCAUUAGUUGCCAUCAUUCGGUUGGGCACUCUAAUGAGACUGCCGGUGACAAGCCGGAGGAAGGUGGGGAUGACGUCAAGUCCUCAUGGCCCUUAUGACCAGGGCUUCACACGUCAUACAAUGGUCGGUACAGAGGGUAGCCAAGCCGCGAGGCGGAGCCAAUCUCACAAAACCGAUCGUAGUCCGGAUUGCACUCUGCAACUCGAGUGCAUGAAGUCGGAAUCGCUAGUAAUCGCAGGUCAGCAUACUGCGGUGAAUACGUUCCCGGGUCUUGUACACACCGCCCGUCACACCAUGGGAGUGGGGGAUACCAGAAGUAGGUAGGGUAACCGCAAGGAGCCCGCUUACCACGGUAUGCUUCAUGACUGGGGUGAAGUCGUAACAAGGUAGCCGUAGGGGAACCUGCGGCUGGAUCACCUCCUUU